GAGCAGCUCACUCCACAGUUUAAUAACCACCUCAGAUAAGACUAUGAAGAAACAGCACCCAUAAUGAGGGGGAAGUACCUGGGAGGAGUGCUAAGAGAGAGACCUGUGAGAAGAGCACCUGCUUGAGAAGUCCUG